CUGGAGGCCGGGCUGUCCCAUGUGUCCCCGUGCCGAGAGUGUAAGCGUCCUCGGGCGCGAGUGGGGUGGGGGCUGACUGCCACUCAGGCGCCCAUGGGCACAGCGUCCUGCGGGCAGCAGAGCACUCUGCUUGGCUGACAGGUGCCGGCUGCCCCUGACCCAAGCUGGUGUGCCUUGGCCCUCAGCGCGGGAGCUGUGUGUGCAGUGAGGAACACAGACGCAAAAGGGUUUUCAAAUGAUGAGGCGCCCUCGAGGGCCGAGGAUGGGGCUGAGCUGGCAGCGUGUUUCUGUGCCCGGCACCGGCUCAGAUCGAGCGUGCUGGCCCACCUGUAAUCCCAACGUUUGAGAGGUGGAGGCAAGGGAUCAGCUGUUUUUAAGGCCAUCCUCAGCCACGUGUCAAGUGUGAAGUCAGUCAGGGCUACGUGUGGCCUCGUCUCGAAAAGAAAUAACUGAUAAGAGAUCACGGAGGCCUGUUAUCCUUGAAGAAUGGCAGAGGCAGUCUUCCGUGCCCCGAAGAGGAAAAGAAGAGUGUAUGAGAGUUACGAGUCACCACUGCCCAUCCCCUUUGGUGAGGACCAAGGUUCCAGGAAGGAAUUCCGAAUAUUCCGAGCUGAAAUGAUCAGCAACAACGUGGUGGUGAGGGGCGUGGAGGACAUGCAGCAGCUGUACGGGAAGGGUUACUUUGGAAAAGGCAUUCUUUCAAGAAGCCGUCCAAACUUCACGAUCUCCAAUCCUAAGCUGGCUGCCAGAUGGAAAGGUGUGCAGACAGACAUGCCUAUAAUCACCUCAGAGAAGUAUCAGCGUCGAGUGGAAUGGGCCAUGGACUUCAUGCGUAGACAGGGCCAGGAUGAGAGCACUCUGCAGAAGAUCCUUAGAGACUACACAGAACCACUUGAGCCUCCUUGCAGAAAGGGGAAAGAAGAGGCCCCACAGCGUGAUCCACUCAACUCCGAGGCCAGCUCCUCCCUGGAAGGCAGAGUGGGAAAGGACAAACUCUCUGUGACCACUGGAGAUGCUGGACCAUCAGAGGGUGAGGGUCUCAGCACACGCUCGGACUGUCCACAGGGGCCUGGCCAUGCCACACUCACUGUGGCAUGUCCGUCCAGCCUUAAUGGACAUGUGAUAGAGGACACCACGGUUCUGCCCCAGGUCCCCUGCCAGGAUGGCAUUUGGCCUGAUGACAGCAGCCAGGUGGCAGGAGAGCAAAGGGCUGCUCACGAGUAUGUGCUCGUUGAGGAAGAGCCGUGUGAUGUCCAGGAGGAGGAGGCCUCAGAUGACAAGUUGCUUCAAAGAAAGAGACUGGUGUGCCGGAGAAACCCAUACAGGAUCUUUGAGUACCUGCAACUCAGCCUAGAAGAGGCUUUCUUCCUGGCAUACGCCCUGGGAUGCUUAAGUAUUUACUAUGAGAAGGAGCCUUUAACGAUAGUAAAGCUCUGGCAAGCCUUCACCGCGGUCCAGCCCACCUUCAGGACUACCUACAUGGCCUACCACUACUUCCGAAGCAAAGGCUGGGUGCCCAAAGUGGGGCUCAAAUACGGAACAGAUCUGUACGAGAGUUCCGUUGGACCUGCUGACUGCACCUCAGCCAUGGUCUUGUGUGAUUUUGGUCAGCUGUGUCCUUGCAGCUUCGCUUGCCUCACCCCCAAAUGAGAAGAGUCCUGGAGUUGCGUUGAUGGUCCCAGCUGUCAUCUCUUGAACACUGUCGGUGUGGCGCUGUACAUCCUGUGACACUCAUUCCUCGUGGCAGCCUUUGCUGUUCUGUGUCCCGGUGCUCAUCACUCCCGUGGAGAGGAGCGGUCAUGUGCCUUAGUGGUUUCCAGGGCCAGUCAUUUCCAGGCUUUGGAUCCUGGUGUGCAGGCUCAUGGGAACUUCAUGUCAAUGCCUCCGCGGGGAUCCCCUGGGGGCUGUGAGCAUAUGAGAGAGUUGUAUCUGGGAAGGGCUGUGAGGAUAGUGUGAGAGGGUUGUAUCUGGGAAGGGCUGUGAGCAUAUGAGAGAGAGUUGUAUCUGGGAAGGGCUUGCUGGGCAAAGCAAACAGCAAGCACAGAGGCGAAGGCCAGUCUCAGGAACUACACAGAGGUAAGAGUGUGGAGAACCCGGGUCCUGAGGGGUUCAGGCUGGGCCUGGAUCUGGGAUUUGGACAAAUGAAAAGUCUUUAAAGUGACCUGGUUUAGUGAGACCCUCUGAGUGCUGUCUUACCUGUGACUGAAGAGGCCUGGAAUGGAGGAGAAACUGGGUUUGAUUCCAGCACACACAUGGCGGAUCACACCCAUCUGUGACUCCAGUUCCAGAGAAUCUUACUUCCUCUUGAGCCUCUGCUGGGCACCAAGCACACACUUGGAGCACAAAAACGCAUGCAGGCAAAACAUCCAGAUAAUAAAAAAUUAAAAAUAGAUCAAAAUUGUCAUGCUCUAAAGUAGACUGUGCUUAACCUGGUGCUGCUAGAAUUCUUUCCCAGGUUGAGGCAUAAGCAACAUCCACCCCUGCUUAUGUCCUAAUGUCCCAGUGAGGAACUGAAGGACAGUUCUGCCAAAGUUCACUCUGGGGAGCCAGUCAGUUGGUUGUUUUUUUGUUUUUGAUUUUGUUUUGUUUUGUUUCUGUUUUUUUAGGUGAGGGGCUACUUACAGUGCUGUGGGUGCUGCUUUCCCCAAACAGGCCACACCUAGCAAGGAUGAGGGCUCAUCACAUAGACCCAUAGAUGGGCCCCACCCCACACUGUGCCCUAGUCUUCCCAGGCCUAUAUAUGCUAGUCCCUCCCCUAGGCCACAUACAGCAGGUAGUAAGGAGUGCUGGAUACUCAGGUGAGGGUCUCAUGACCAUCCCCACCCCUCCAUGGUGGGCAUAAAGAGUCAACAAGCUUAGCUGAGAUGACCCAUUUCCAAGGGGGCACAGCUGAAAUCCCCCCCCCCCCCCAGAGAGUUGCCUGGCUCUGAGGAUAGUCACAACACCUGGAAUUGUGGGAUAGUCUUCAGGGGGUACCAGCAGCCCAGAACUCUUCUGGACAGCAGCCGGGCGUUUGCUAUGUGCCCUUCCCUAUUCCUUCCAUCCUGGAUGUUGCACAUGUGGCUGAUGGGGUGAGCUGAGCUUGCCCUGAGCUGAGGAUGGCCUUGUUUUGUUUCUUUUGACUUCCUCUCAUCCCACUCCUGAGAUCACAGCCACUCCACCUACCUGACAGGUCUCCACCAUUCUCAUCCCGAGAGCGGAAUAGAAGCUGAAGCGAUCAGCAAGGCUGUCCAUGCUGUAUCGGAAAGGCCCUCCGUUUUACCAUGCAAG